GUUACCUGAAUGCAGAGGAACCAACGGGUGACUUCAACGAAACACCAAAGGAUACUGGAAACCUAAGACAGAGGAAGAAAGAAUCUCUCAGCCACACAGAAAAAGCCUGGAGACAGCCUGGAAACUACAACCAGAGUAUGUCCAAUGGUGAGCAAGUGAGAGGAGCAGGAAGACACCAUCGGUAGGGGUACCUGUGGUCAACUGUCAUCUAGAAGCAGAUGGUCCUUUUUUUUUUUUAACCUAUCGCUGAAGGUCAACAGUAGCCUAAUGCUAGUCACAGUGCCUACAUCAUUCACCUCACUUCGUGUUACCAUGAAGGCAUUGUAUCAUCUCACAUUAUCACAAAGAAGAAGGGUGAGUACAGUACAAUAAGAUAUUUUGAGAGACCACAUUCACAUAACUUUUUAAGUAUACAUUGUUUUAAUUGUUCUAUUUCAUUAUUGCUAUCUCACUGUGCCUAAUUUGUAAGUAAAUUUAAAAAAAACAUAGGAUAUAUUAUAUAGGGUUCGGUACUGUUCACAGUUUCAGGUACCCACUGGGGGUCAUGGCAUGUAUCCCUCCAGAUAAGGGAGGAUUACUCUAUCUCAGAAUUUCUGGCCACUGUUAACUUGAAAGUGUAUCUUUUCAGGACAUUUGUAUGAAUAUGUAUGUGUGUUUUCUUUAACUGAGAACAUAUUGCUUUGUGGUAUUUUUAUUUAUACUUAAGAAUGGUAUCAGGCACCUGGGUGGCUCAGUUAAGCGUCAGACUUCAGCUCAGGUAUGAUCUUGUGGUUCGUGAGUUCAAGCCCCUCACUGGGUUCUCUGCUGUCAGCACAGAGCCCACUUCAGACCCUUUGUCCCCCUUCCUCUCUGUCCCUCCCCUACUUGCGCUCUCUCAAAAGUAAAACAUUA